UAACAGUUGGAAUAUCGGUUUCUGUAGCAGUUAUCAUAGUCAUAGCAUGUGCACUCAUUAUCCUGAGAAAAAGAAAGAGAUCGCCAAAGAAAAAUUCUACACAAACAUCUGCAAACGGCCAGGAUUACAAUGGAAACCAGAAUAUCGCAAUGCCCUGGUCAGGAGACUCUCCCGAGUAUAACGAUUUGAAAGUGCGCCGUGAAAGUCAUAAUUAUGGCGAACUGCAAUCUAGAAGCAAGGCAAUAGGUGAUACAUGUUAUGACUAUAUUGAUGAUAACGAACAUACACGGGAAACAAAGGUUUUCAGUGUCGAGCAGGGUAUAUCUCAAAACGAUUUAUCUUCAAGAUCUUGUCAGGAAUAUGCAAUGUUGGAUCCAAGUGAGAAACGCAAAACGGAAUUAAUUUCAUCUUCAAACCGUGAUACAAUUAGUGACGACUAUACUGUUCUUGAAGCAGAAGAAGCAAUAACUAAUCACCCGGUAUACCCUCAAAGCGACCAGUUUGAUAAAAGUAUAAAUACAUGUCAAACUAAAAUCAAUGAGAACAAAAUAGAAGUCACAUCUGCCCAUAACGUUACACGUGAAGACUACACUGUUCUUGACCCAAAGUUAACAGGAUUCAAUCGAAUGAAUGAGAGAGCAAUAUUUAACCUAAAUAUUAGAGAUAUGGAGCAUAAUACAAUGCAUCCAUUAAAAGAAGACACGAAGUAUUACGAGCUUGCAAAACCCAUUGAUGAAGAUGAAAAGGAAAAUACAUGCCAUAAAUACGAUGGAGAUUAUGGAUUUUGUCAAAAUUCUGAUUACAACCAACUUAAAGCCGGACAUCCAAAACACUCCGAGGAACAUGUAUACAACCACACUGUUGAUGACGUAUACGAUACGACCUCACACAACAGAAAGUGUGCUACGCCAGACAGCACCUACGAUUAUUUCUGUGGCGAUAAAACUCAUGAUGAUUAUAACUUACCUAUGAAAAUGUAAAAUGGUGUUGAUAGUAAAAUAAUCACAGCGCAAUAGGAAUGACAUAACACUCUUAAAUGUAGCAUUUAAACAUUUAUUUUAUUAAUUUAUAUUACCUUUUUUAUUUGACAAUCAGUGCUUUAAAUCUAACCGUGAAAGUUUACAUAGAUAUGUUAAAUUAAUUACUUUGUUCUUUUUAUUAAAUUAAGUCUAAAUUUAUUUUAAACAGGAAUAAUAUUAUAUUAAAAAUUUGCCUUAAA